ACGUCAUAACGGGUGUAAAGGCUUUAUAUACGAGCUCCCAGCGUCUAACGGUCAGACGCCUGCGGUCUCACCCACGGAAAGGUCUACCUGACAGACCAACUCCGAACAAGGCAGUCUCCCCAUCACAAAGGGUUCUGUUUUAGACAGAGAGACAAAUUGACAUGAUGGGUGAGGACCGCAGAGCCAAAGAAGAGUAUUUUUGUAUGUUUAUUGAAUAAAAUCUAAUAAAAUAUUAAAAACAAA